GACGAACGCUGGCGGCGUGCUUAACACAUGCAAGUCGAGCGGUAAGGCCCUUUCGGGGGUACACGAGCGGCGAACGGGUGAGUAACACGUGGGUGACCUGCCCUCAGCUCUGGGAUAAGCCCGGGAAACUGGGUCUAAUACCGGAUAUGACUUCAUGACGCAUGUUGUGGAGUGGAAAGCCUUGUGCGGCUGAGGAUGGGCCCGCGGCCUAUCAGCUUGUUGGUGGGGUGANGGCCUACCAAGGCGACGACGGGUAGCCGGCCUGAGAGGGCGACCGGCCACACUGGGACUGAGAUACGGCCCAGACUCCUACGGGAGGCAGCAGUGGGGAAUCUUGCGCAAUGGG
rnacentral:rRNA from 1 species